CCAUCAAGAAACUGCAGCUUCUCCUCCCUUCACUCUGACAGCAAUCCAAAAUGACAGCACUGUUCUAGAAGCUUUUCUCCGUGACACACUUUACAGUGAGCAACAAUUUCUUGUUUAAUAAUUAAAAGCAUUUCCUGGGUAAUCAGAGCAGUCCUCUGGUAUCUGAAAAAAUAACUUUAUUUCAUCAAUGAGAGCACGUGGACAACGUUAAAUCAUCUCUCCAAAGCUUCUCCAAGCCAACCAAAGUCUGAAAUCUCCUGAUGUAAGGAAAUGUCCUUCUCCCACACCUUUCCUAUAGGUAAGAGUAGCUACAGACAGGAGUAGAAACAUCAAGGAAGGCAAAAAAAUGCAAAGAAGCAAGAGACUAAAUAAAAAAUAUCACGGAGAGUAUUUUUAUAUAAUAGAAAAGACUUUUACUGGAGUGGACCUUCUGCCACCCAUCCCUGCGAGAGAAAAACAGGCAACUGCACCAGAUGUGGGUUUGGAAAGAGUGGUAAUUUGUGACACAACACUAAAAUAAAGGUUGUAUAUACACGAUGUUUUAUUGGCAAUGACCUCAUCUGAAUAUUUGCCUAAUGAAGGGGGAUUCACUGGGUUAAUGACGGUGACAGUCACAGCAUCCCAAAGCCAUGCACACCCCUGGGGAUCCCAGCUCUGCUGCUCAGCGUGGCAGCACGGAUGGAAAUCUGUGAAAACAGGCAGCUGUGGAAACCUCAGCUCUGUGCUUGCUGAUUCAUGCAAGGAGGGAAAAGGAACAGAAAUGCGCCAGAAUGGUGAAAACAAAAGGCACCAUCUGGCUCUGAGGAGAGCUGGGCUCAUCCAAACAGCAGCAGGACAGACACCAGCCCUGGGAGACGGAGAGAAACAUUCCAGAUCCCGCAUUCCUGAGCAUUCCUGAGGGAUCAAACCUCCCAACGCCUGCUGCUGACAGCCCAGAGAACCGGGACACCUCCAACGGGGACAGAGCAACACCGGCAGAGCAAAAGGGGAGUCUGGAAAGUGAACUCAAACACUUGAAUGGAUGGUGAAUCAAACACGGAGUGAGGAACACACAGAGCAACUCGGAAUUUGGGCUGAGCCUCACUGCCAAACAAAGUCAGGGCAGCAGUGACUUUAAACCAAACCCAGGUGAUUCUGCAGACAACACUGGGCUACAGAGGCUACUGCAAAUAUAUUGUAUUCAUUUUUUAAUUAAGACUCCAUCAUAGUUUUGUUCUUUUUAAUCAUAAACUUACAUAUUUGUUUUUGUUUUUUUCUCAGAUAACUCAUUUUUCAUUGCUUCACCCAAAUCAAUUCAAAACACCUGAUUAACUGAGCAAGACAAAAAUCUCCAACAGCCCCCUGACAUCAGGAUGAGACAAGUGAGACUCAGAAACAGACAGAGAGUGAUGCUGAGCUGGGCUUCUCCACCAGGUGAUUUGUCCGCCUUUCCCCCAUAAGAAAGCAGAUCUCACAUUAGGAAGGUAAGAUCAGUCUCCCCUGCCCAGGUAUAAAGGGAUUCUGCAAUUUAGAUGCAGUGCAAAUUCAGGUGGUAACAGGUUACUCCCCAUCCUGUCAGCCCUCCCUUGCUGCAAUCUCCAACUUUAUCGAUUCAAUACCACAUUUUCUUCCCCAGCCAACAAUAGAUUCUGCUCUAAAACCACAACCUCCAACAUUUGUGUCCACUUCAGUGGCAUUUCAAAUAGUCUGUCUCUUGCAAUAACACCUCGUUUGUAGCACUCCUCUAACACUCCUGACAUCAAUGGCACAUUUUUGUAUCAGCAUUUAAAACACUUGUAAUAUAACCCAGGAACCCUGGAAUGGUGGAUGUUAACAAAGUACUGCCCACAUUUAUCAAGAAUUCUGGGGGUCAGGGAAUCCAGGCUCUAACACUGAGGCUGCCCUGGGGUUGUUUGUCUUUUCUCCCUUUGUGGUUUGGGACCCCAAGGGAUACAUUUAAUUAAAAGUAUCCUGAGGGUUAUCCUCUGCUUCUCCCCGUGGACUGUGAACCAUCUGCUGAGUGUUAAUUAGGUUGGCAAGCAGUCGAUUAAGCUAAAUUGCCACUUUUCUCUUACUGCAGUCCUGUGUCCCAGACACUCCUCUGUGUGGCUGAGGGAUGACACCUCCCCCAGCAGAGCAUUCCCAGCUAUUAUCAGAGGGCUCAGAUGUCUCAGGGAAGCACAAUUUUAGUAAAAAAAUGACUGGUCAAGACAGCAAAAUUACAGUGAUUUGGGGGUUGUGCCCCCCCCUUCUUUGGAUCACAGUUUCAAGCUCUUCAAAAUAUUAAAUGCUAAUUUUUUUUUUCAAAACGCUGUAAAACAAAGUUUUAAAAGUAAAUUGGGCAAUUCCUACAGCUGACCCCAAAUAUUUGGAGGCUCCUGUGAAACUGGGAGCAUUAGUAAUGCUGUAACAAUCUGCAUUUCACUUCCAAGCAUCUUGUUAAAAACAGAGAGCUCUUUCAAUACACAUUUUAGUCACCUAAAUCAUGUCUUCACUUCUCCCUAGACAUUUUUGGUCAAUUAAACCUCUACCAGGAGCAUGGAGCAAGCCAGAAUUCCAUCGGUUUUACCACAAUCUUUUAUUCAAAGUUUCAUUUUACCACAAUCUUUUAUUCAAAGUUUGGUUUCAUUUGUCUCACCUGAAAGACAAAUAGAAUUAAACAGAUAUGCAACACUGCCUGUGAAAAAUGAAGCAGUUGUCCU